ensembl:lncRNA
CUCAGAAGAAUUUAGAAAGACAAAUAUUAUAUUAUAUACAUAAAAUACUGUACAUCGUUAGACCAUUUGGAUAAUAUUAGGCAUUGGCUAAAUUGCAUAAUUUAUUAUGUAUUAGCACACAUAGAAUAAUUGAUCCAUGUUCUUUUAGUUUAUUUCUGCAAGACUAGAAAAUAUCCACAAUCCAUUCGAUGCAGGCCAUCUCCUGAAGUGUGAUGUCUAUAAUUAAAUCUUAGAGUUAAAGUUCAUGAUAUUGCAGUGAUGUUUUAAAAUUGAUUUAAGAAAAUAUAGAAAUGAAUAUAAGGAGUCCAAGCAACACAGAGACAACACCCAUUCGGAUACUGGUGGCAUCACUAGUCGUUGAGGCAGUCGUGAAUGAUGCUGCAGAUGUUGCCAGGGUUGUAGUUGUAGUUGGCGCUGCGGUUGUUGUUGGGGGUGGGGUUAAAGUUGCCGUUAAGAAUUUAGUUGUUAAUGGGGCAUUAGUAGUAGUUGCAGUUGUUGUUGAGGGAGAAGUUUUUGUCUGGGCAGCAGUUAUUGGGGAUGCAGCAGUUGUGGAUGGGGCUGAAGUCUUUGUCGGGGAUAAAGAUGUUGUCAAGACAGCAAUUGUUGGCGGGUUUGCAGUUGUUGUCAAGGCAUAAGUUGUAGUCGGGGCUGUAGUUGUUGUCGUGCCAGCAGUUGUAGGUGGUGCUGUAGUUGUUUUUGGGGUGGCAGUUGUCGUCUGGGAAGCAGUUGUAGUUGGUGCAGCAGUUGUUGUCGGGGCUGCAGUUGUAGUUGGUGCAGCAGUUGUUGUUGGGGCUGCUGCUGUAGUUGGUGCAGCAGUGGUUGUUGGGGCUGCAGUUCUUGUUGGGGCUGCAGUUGUAGUUGGUGCAGCAGUUGUUGUUGUUGGUGCUGCAGUUGUAGUUGGCGCUGCAGUUGUAGUUGGUGCAGCAGUUGUUGUGGGUGCUACAGUUGUUGUUGGGGCUGCUGUUGUAGUUGGUGCAGUAGUUGUUGUCGGGGCUACAGAUGUAGUUGGUGCAGCAGUUGUUGUUGGUGCUGUAGUUGUAGUUGGUGCAGCAGUUGAAGUUGGCACUGCAGUUGUAGUUGGUGCAGCAGUUGAAGUUGGCGCUGCAGUUGUAGUUGGGUCUGCAGUUGUUUUCUGGCUUGCAGUUGUAGUUGGUGGAGGAGUUGUUUGGGAUGCAGUUGUUGUCGGUGCCACAGAUGUAGUUGGGGCCGCAGUGGUUGUUGGGGCUCCAAUUGUUGUUGUUGGGGCUGUAGUUGUAGUUGGUGCAGCAAUCGUUAUCGGAGCUGCAGUUGUAGUUAUGGCUGCAGUUGUAUAUGGUGCUGCAGUUGUUAUUUGUGCUGCAGUUGUUGUCUGGGCCACAGAUGUAGUUGGUGCAGCAGUUGUUGUUGGUGCUUUAGUUGUUGUUGGGACUGCAGUUGUAGUUGGUGCAGCAGUUAAUAUCGGAGCUGCAGUUGUAGUUAUGGCUGCUUUUGUAGUUGGUGCUGCGGUUGUUGUUUGUGCUGCAGUUGUUGUCGGGGCUGCUGUUGUAGUUGGUGCAGCAGUGGUUGUAUGGGCUGCAGUUGUUGUCGGUCCAGCUGUUGUUGGGGCUGCAGUUGUAGUUGGUGCAGGGGUUGUUGUCGGCGCUGCCGUUGUAGUAGUUGCAGCUGCAGUAGUUUUUGCAGCAGAUGUUGUAGUUGGUGCAGCAGUUGUUGUUGGGGCUGCUGUUGUAGUCGUUGCAGCAGUUGUUGUUAGGGCUGCAGUUGUAGUUGGUGCAGCAGUUGUUGUUGGGGCUGCAGUUGUAGUUGGUGCAGCAGUUGUUGUUGGGGCUGCUGUUGUAGUUGGUGCAGCAGUUGUUGUUGGGGCUGCAGUUGUAGUUGGUGCAGCAGUUGUUGUUGGGGCUGCAGUUGUAGUUGGUGCAGCAGUUGUUGUUGGGGCUGCUGUUGUAGUUGGUGCAGCAGUUGUUGUUGGGGCUGCUGUUGUAGUUGGUGCAGCCGUUGUUGUUGGGGCUGCUGUUGUAGUUGGUGCAGCAAUUGUAGUUGGGGCUGCUGUUGUUGUUGGGACUGCAGUUGUAUUUGGUGCAGGGGUUGUUUUCGGCGCUGCAGUUGUAGUCGUUGCAGCAGUUGUUAGGGCUGCAGUUGUAGUUGGUGCAGCAGUUGUUAGGGCUGCUGUUGUAGUUGGUGCAGCAGUUGUUGUUGGGGCUGCUGUUGUAGUUGGUGCAGCAGUUGUUGUUGGGGCUGCUGUUGUAGUU